rnacentral:rRNA from 1 species
GACGGAGGGUGCAAACGUUGCUCGGAAUCACUGGGCGUAAAGGGCGUGUAGGCGGGCAGGGUAGUCAGAUGUGAAAGCCCUGGGCUCAACCCAGGAACUGCAUUUGAAACUCCCUUUCUUGAGUGUCGGAGAGGAAAGCGGAAUUCCUGGUGUAGAGGUGAAAUUCGUAGAUAUCAGGAGGAACACCGGUGGCGAAGGCGGCUUUCUGGACGACAACUGACGCUGAGACGCGAAAGCGUGGGGAGCAAACAGG